rnacentral:rRNA from 1 species
GCGCAGCAGUCGCGAAACUUCACACUGUGCGAAAGCACGAUGAGGGAAUCCCAAGUGCUUGCACGUAAGUGUAAGCUGUUUCUCUGUCUAAAACGCAGAGAGAGUAAGGGCUGGGUAAGACGGGUGCCAGCCUCCGCGGUAAUACCUGCAGCUCAAGUGGUGACCGUUAUUAUUGGGCCUAAAACGUCCGUAGCCGGUUUAAUAAAUGCCUGGGUAAAUUGUGUAGCUUAACUAUACGAAUUCCGGGUAGACUGUUAAACUUGAGACCGGGAGAAGUUAGAGGUACUCCUGGGGUAGAGGUGAAAUUCUGUAAUCCUAGGGGGACCACCAGUGGCGAAGGCGUCUAACUAGAACGGGUCUGACGGUGAGGGACGAAGCCCUGGGGCGCAAAC